rnacentral:rRNA from 1 species
AUAUCAGUCAUGCAUAGCAUAUCAAUAAGCGGAGGAAAAGAAACUAACAAGGAUUCCCCUAGUAACGGCGAGUGAAGCGGGAAGAGCUCAAAUUUGAAAUCUUAAAGGGUUUCCCUUUACGAAUUGUAGUUUAAAGAAGUGUUUUCUGUUGAGGUUUUGGUAAAAGUUCUUUGGAAUAGGACAUCAUAGAGGGUGAGAAUCCCGUAUUUGACCUUUACUUUCAACUUUGUGAUACACUUUCAAAGAGUCGGAUUGUUUGGGAAUGCAGUCCAAAAUGGGUGGUAAAUUUCAUCUAAAGCUAAAUAUUGGCGAGAGACCGAUAGCGAACAAGUACCGUGAGGGAAAGAUGAAAAGAACUUUGAAAAGAGAGUUAAACAGUACGUGAAAUUGUCAAAAGGGAAGCGUUUGACACCAGUGUUGUUUUUCUGAAAAUCAAUUAAAGAGCUGUUUAUGCUAAGUUGUUUAGACUUUAUCAGCUAACUGUUUAGUUUUGAGCUUUUCUUUAAUGCACUUUUCAGUUAACAAGUCAACAUCAAUUUCUUUUGCUGUAAAAAAGCUUGAGGAAGGUGGCUUGAGAUUCGUCUUAAGUGUUUAUAGCCUCUUGCCUAUGCAGUCGGAGAGAUUGAGGUCUGCAGCGUAGAUCCUUCGGGGCUAAAUGCAUUUGUGCUAAGUUAUAGCAUUUUAUAGACAACUUGUUGACUAUGAUUUGUCUUGUAGCUUACUCGCUUAUGUUAUUUUACCUACGCUUAGGAUGUUGACGCGCGUGUGUGCGUG